rnacentral:rRNA from 1 species
UACGUAGGGGGCAAGCGUUGUCCGGAUUCAUUGGGCGUAAAGAGUGUGUAGGCGGCCAGGUAGGUCGGUUGUGAAAACUGGAGGCUCAACCUUCAGAGGUCGACCGAAACCAUCUGGCUAGAGUCCGGGAGAGGAGAGUGGAAUUCCUGGUGUAGCGGUGAAAUGCGCAGAUAUCAGGAAGAACACCCGUGGCGAAAGCGGCUCUCUGGAACGGUACUGACGCUGAGGUGCGAAAGCGUGGGGAGCAAACAGG